GUUGAACGCUGGCGGCGGGCCUAACACAUGCAAGUCGAACGAGUGGCGGACGGGUGAGUGAUGUCGGGGCAACUGCCUGACGUAGCGGGCUAACUACUGGAAACGGUGGUUAAUGCCGCAUACCACCAGAUGUGCCGAGAGGGGAUGAGCGAGUUGGUGGGGUAACGGCUCACCAAGGCGACGAUGCCUAGCCGGUCUGAGAGGAUGACCGGCCACACUGGAACUGAGACACGGUCCAGACUCCUACGGGAGGCAGCAGUAGGGAAUAUUGGACAAUGGGCGAAAGCCUGAUAGAGCCAUGCCGCGUGUAUGAAGAAGGUCUUCGGGUUGUAAAGCUCUGUCAGUAGAGAGGCGGUACCUGCCGAAGAAGCACCGGCUAACUCCGUGCCAGCAGCCGCGGUAAUAC
rnacentral:rRNA from 1 species